CCUGCCAUCCAUGAUAUGAUAUUUUCUGUGGUUCACUUCCCACACCGACUAUUUCCUCAAGGACAAUAUAUUGGUGGUGGAACGAACAAACUAAAUGCCAGAUAAUUUUCUUGGGUACAACAGAUCCAUACGCUACAAUUUAAAAGCUGAAAACCGUGGGAAAGCAUUAGAGAUUUGGCAGUAACACGUCUAGUUGUGGCUCAAAACUAUUAGCCCGUCAUCUGAAUGAACACUUGCAGCUGAAGAAAAAUUUCCGAAGUGUACGGAUACACGUGCUGAACCUAUUCCAUUUGAGUAGAUCCCUGGCUGCGUUUCCGAAGAUGAAGCACAUACAAAUGCUUUGACCAGUUACCUAUAUACGCUUUCGGAUUGCAGCAUUUUCUGCCUAAAUUACGUCAAGUCAACAUGAUUGGGCGGCUUGAGUGCUUUCAACAUUUUCAUCUGCUGCCCCCUACAGGAGGUUUACAAGUGCAGUUUGACCUCCUAUAAAAUUAGUGUGAUCCACCCCAUUUUUCCCAAAAGGCAUUUUCUCUACUCUAACAUUUAUUAUUUUUACUAUGGCAGUACCUCAAGGCUCCAUCUUGGAUCAGGGCCCCUUUGUGCUGGGGGCUGUCCAUACACAUGAAAAGAGAGACAAUCCCUGCACUGAAAGCUUGCAAACUAAACAGACAGGGUAGACGAAAGGUGGGAACAGAUAUUGUACUCAUUUUACAGGUGAGGAACUGAAAGAGAGAGAAACCAAGAGUCAGAUUUUUGAAGGCGCUUUGUUGAUCAUGCAGAAUAGUAUCUGGAUCCCCUGCCUGUGGCUUAGGUUGAAACAAUACAAUUCCAAUGUAUGAGGCAAAUAUCCCAUGGACCACUCAGCACCAUGCUUGAAAUCCUGCCUCUACUGAGGUUAGCUUUACCAUUGACUUCAGUGAGGCCAGGAUUUAACCCCCUGACUUAAAAGAACAAAGAUAAGGAGGAUAUUGACAGUAGACCAGAUGCUAGAGGAAACUGAGUCAGCACUUAUGGAAAAGCUUGCACAAGUAGGGGUGUCUUGGAAUGCCUAAUCGCAGACAAAGCCCAGCUUUCUGGGUCCUUGCUUUCCUUGGCUUCUGCACCAUAUCCGGCACCAAAGGCAAUUACUCAGGAAAGGCCAGUCACUCUAGAAUAGUGAAACAUGGAGCCACAGGGCAGCAACAGAGGCCGUGGAACCCUGGCUGUGCUCCACUCAUUUCUGCUAGCUGUACCCAGCUGUGACAUUCCCACCCAGCAAGAACCACUUGCUAAAAUUAGCUUUCAUGCCCACAAGAUGUUCUUCCUCAUUGGCAAAUGCUGCAUCCCCUUAAAAAAAAAAACCCAGAGGGCAUUGGUGACCCUAUCAAAGGCUGAGACGUUGGGGAGGCUGGGUGGCACCUGUUGUCUCCAACAGUACCUUUCAGAGUGUUCAGCGCACUACUUCUGCCAUUCACAGUACUGUUGGGACUGUGCCAGAUACUUCACAGGGCCUAUAUUGAGAGUGGUGGAGACAGGGGAUAGAAUCUGCAUUCUCCAGAGAUAUCCCAUGAGGAAUAAGGCCACACAAGACAAGCAGCUGGAAGCACUGAAGGCCAAGGUCAUGGACCUUAUAAUUGCUCCUCAACCAGCUUUCCCAUAGUGCUUCCCGGAGGGCAGUCGCUUGGGCAUGCUCACUGAGCGGGUAGCUCCACCUCUGCUGAAGAUAAUGCCCUUAUCCCAGUAUGGAUGCAGAAACGGAGUGGGUCCAUGGAUCAUUGGGGCAAAAGCUAAAUGAGGGACAGGCAACCCCACCCCUUUGUCACUGUGAUGGCCUGGUGGCCACAGAGGUGCUCCUAAUUUGGGGACAUUGAAAUGAGGAAUGCCCUCACCCAGCUGGAAAAUCUCAGUCAUCCAGAGCUCAGAAUAAGUCAACUUGCCAGAUAUAUGUUCCACUAAAGACUGGCUGAAAAUCCUGUCAACACUGCUAGUAAACCCAUCAUGUCUGUAACUUGGCUGACUAAUAAGCUGUGAAACACUCAUGUAGGCAAUGGGAAAUCCUUCUCGGGGCAGAAGUGUACUUUACAGAGCUUUCUGUAACAACCAGCAAAGGCAAUUUGAAGACUACUAGGCUAAGCAGAUUUCACACACGGCCAGGAAAUAAGCCCCCUACAAUGAGAGUCUGCACCAUUGCUGGAUUUACACAGCCUACUACAGCCUACUGUGGAUGGCACUUUGUCCUCAGUACCUUGUUCCUACUGUCGGUUAAGGAGGCCCCUUCCAGCAGAUGACAAUUUUCCCCUGGGGAAAUGAUUUCUACUCUUUCCUUUAAUGCAGGGAGUGUGAAUGAGAGCAGGGGAAAGAGCUUCAGCCACUCUGGGGUGAAAAAUCAUUGCUACAGUGGGAGUCCGAGAUACGAUGCCAGGCUGCUGAUCAACCACUGAUUCUACCCUCCCUCACCAGUUACUCCUCCUAGCCAAGCUCAUUCAGGCAUUGAAUUAUGCAAGGCAGCGACAUGGAGUUCUCUCUAUUAUCAUUAAACUCAGUAAUCUGGAUGCUUUUGUGACAGCAGAUGCUGCUGUUGGCAUGGAGUUUUUGUAGACUCCAGCUUUAUAUGUAAAAAUCAGUUGUUCGAAGCCUGCCUGAUCUCAUCCACGGGUUAUAUUAAUUUAUUUUAAUAAGUGUAAAUUAAAGACCAUUGAGCGUGCGUAUGGGUUAGUGGC